UUUGGGCAUUGUGUACUUCCUUGG
rnacentral:siRNA from 1 species